rnacentral:rRNA from 1 species
CAGCAGCCGCGGUAAUACGGGGAGGGCAAGCGUUGCCCGGAAUCACUGGGCUUAAAGGGGGUGUAGGCGGUCGGGUGUGUCGGGCGUGUAAUCCACCGGCUCAACCGGUGGGCUGCGUCCGAAACUACCCGACUAGAGGGCGCCAGAGGGGAGCGGAACUCACGGUGUAGCGGUGAAAUGCGUGGAUAUCGUGGGGAACGCCGGUGGGGAAGCCGGCUCCCUGGGGCGUCCCUGACGCUGAGGCCCGAAAGCUGGGGGAGCAAAGGGGAUUAGAUACCCCCGUAGUCCCAGCCGUAAACGAUGCGGGCUAGCCGUUCGUCCCGACUUUGUCGGGAUGAGUGGCGCAGGGAAACCGUUAAGCCCGCCGCCUGGGGAGUACGCCCGCAAGGGUGAAACUCAAAGGAAUUGACGGGGGGGCGCACAAGCGGUGGAGCGCGUGGUUCAAUUCGAUGCUAACCGAAGAACCUUACCCGGGCUUGACAUGCCGGUGGUAUCCCGAUGGAAACAUCGGGAGACUCCGACUUGUCGGAGAGCCGGUACAGGUGCUGCACGGCUGUCGUCAGCUCGUGCCGUGAGGUGUUGGGUUAAGUCCCGCAACGAGCGCAACCCCUGCCCUUAGUUGCCAGCGAGUCAUGUCGGGCACUCUAAGGGGACUGCCCCGGAUAACGGGGAGGAAGGUGGGGACGACGUCAAGUCAGCAUGGCCUUUAUGUCCAGGGCUACACACGUGCUACAAUGGGCGGUACAGAGGGAUGCAAAACCGCGAGGUGGAGCUAAUCCCUAAAGCCGCUCUCAGUUCGGAUCGCAGGCUGCAACUCGCCUGCGUGAAGCUGGAAUCGCUAGUAAUCGCGGAUCAGCAUCGCCGCGGUGAAUACAUUCUCGGGCCUUGCACACACCGCCCGU